rnacentral:rRNA from 1 species
GACGAACGCUGGCGGCGUGCUUAACACAUGCAAGUCGAACGGAAAGGCCCUGCUUUUGUGGGGUGCUCGAGUGGCGAACGGGUGAGUAACACGUGAGUAACCUGCCCUUGACUUUGGGAUAACUUCAGGAAACUGGGGCUAAUACCGGAUAGGAGCUCCUGCUGCGUGGUGGGGGUUGGAAAGUUUCGGCGGUUGGGGAUGGACUCGCGGCUUAUCAGCUUGUUGGUGGGGUAGUGGCUUACCAAGGCUUUGACGGGUAGCCGGCCUGAGAGGGUGACCGGCGACAUUGGGACUGAGAUACGGCCCAGACUGCUACGGGAGGCAGCAGUGGGGAAUAUUGCACAGUGGGCGGAAGCCUGAUGCAGCAACGCCGCGUGCGGGAUGACGGCCUUCGGGUUGUAAACCGCUUUCGCCUGUGACGAAGCGUGAGUGACGGUAAUGGGUAAAGAAGCACCGGCUAACUACGUG